CUCUUGACUAUGCUAAAAUACCAUGAAGUUAUCGAGGGGAGUGGAGAUUUCCACAGUUUUGAUCAAUGCAUUCCUAUCUUAAUGGAGAAUUAUGAACUAUUUUGAAUUAGUUGUUUGCUACUUUGAUUGUGAAAAUGAUCAUCACAUAUGAAUUUAUCAAGGCUUCAUUUAAGUAGGUAGAAUCUACAUUUUUGGCUUACUAUUCUAUAUUGUUGUUACCUUAAUAGUGUACUAUUCAUCUUUGGGUUGAUAGGUCUUUUGCUUCUAUUUGUCAAACACAAGCAUUUUCAUAACUGUCCUUUUUUGUUUUGGAAUAGAAGUGCAUUUUUUUAUGUUUUAUGGAACUCACUGAAUUAAUUAUGUUGCACAUCGUGGCCUGCGCCAAAAUCGUGCUUUACCCUUGAUGUCCAGUCCACUGCUGCACCUCAAGCACUUCGUGGAGAACCGGCUAGCUCUAGGUUCGAGUGGCAUUUCAAGCCCCUUUGUUUUGGAAAUUUAAUUCUGCCUAUGACAUCCUUUCAUAGAAAGAGAGAAAUUAAUUGAUGUAUUUAUUCGAUCCGGAAGAAGUCAGUGUGCUUAUCUUAAUGUAAUUAUAAAUAGUUUAC
rnacentral:lncRNA from 1 species